GUGGCGCAGCUACACAUGCAGUCGAGCGAGAUCUUCGGAUCUAGCGGCGGACGGGUGAGUAACGCGUGGGAACGUACCCUCUUCUGCGGGAUAGCCACUGGAAACGGUGAGUAAUACCGCAUACGCCCUUCGGGGGAAAGAUUUAUCGGAGGAGGAUCGGCCCGCGUUGGAUUAGGUAGUUGGUGGGGUAAUGGCCUACCAAGCCUACGAUCCAUAGCUGGUUUUAGAGGAUGAUCAGCCACACUGGGACUGAGACACGGCCCAGACUCCUACGGGAGGCAGCAGUGGGGAAUCUUAGACAAUGGGCGCAAGCCUGAUCUAGCCAUGCCGCGUGAGUGACGAAGGCCUUAGGGUCGUAAAGCUCUUUCGCCUGUGAUGAUAAUGACAGUAGCAGGUAAAGAAACCCCGGCUAACUCCGUGCCAGCAGCCGCGGUAAUACGGAGGGGGUUAGCGUUGUUCGGAAUUACUGGGCGUAAAGCGCACGUAGGCGGAUUGGAAAGUAUGGGGUGAAAUCCCAGGGCUCAACCCUGGAACGGCCUCAUAAACUUCCAGUCUGGAGUUCGAGAGAGGUGAGUGGAAUUCCGAGUGUAGAGGUGAAAUUCGUAGAUAUUCGGAGGAACACCAGUGGCGAAGGCGGCUCACUGGCUCGAUACUGACGCUGAGGUGCGAAAGUGUGGGGAGCAAACAGGAUUAGAUACCCUGGUAGUCCA
rnacentral:rRNA from 1 species